GACGAACGCUGGCGGCGUGCCUAAUACAUGCAAGUUGAGCGCUGAAGGUUGGUACUUGUCCCGACUGGAUGAGCAGCGAACGGGUGAGUAACGCGUGGGGAAUCUGCCUUUGAGCGGGGGACAACAUUUGGAAACGAAUGCUAAUACCGCAUAAAAACUUUAAACACAAGUUUUAAGUUUGAAAGAUGCAAUUGCAUCACUCAAAGAUGAUCCCGCGUUGUAUUAGCUAGUUGGUGAGGUAAAGGCUCACCAAGGCGAUGAUACAUAGCCGACCUGAGAGGGUGAUCGGCCACAUUGGGACUGAGACACGGCCCAAACUCCUACGGGAGGCAGCAGUAGGGAAUCUUCGGCAAUGGACGAAAGUCUGACCGAGCAACGCCGCGUGAGUGAAGAAGGGUUUCGGAUCGUAAAACUCUGUUGGUAGAGAAGAAUGUUGGUGAGAGUGGAAAGCUCAUCAAGUGACGGUAACUACCCAGAAAGGGACGGCUAACUACGUG
rnacentral:rRNA from 1 species